CAAAAGUUUGGUUUUAAAGAAGACAAUCGAUCUGAGCAGUUAUAAGAAAAGAUGAAAUUUUAUACUAUUUUGCUUUUGGGAGUUACACUUUUUAUCGUGACCGUCAAUGGCCAGAGAUGUGCAUGGGAAAAUGACCAGUGUAAUCGCAGACAUUGUUGUCCUGGCCUUCGGUGUGAACGUGGAGGAUGCCGUUUCAUCUAAUAAAUAUGGUCAAAAUUUCAAUUCCAAAUAACAAUACUUGAUACAAAUUAAAAUUAUAUCAAUCUUUUCUAUUUCAA